rnacentral:rRNA from 2 species
GUGGUUAUUACAGCAAAGAGGAUACACCUGUUCCCAUUCCGAACACAGAAGUUAAGCUCUUUAGCGCCGAUGGUACUUGGUGGGAAGCUGCCUGGGAGAGUAGGACGUAGCCGCGU